GCUAUGGAUACCUGAGUCAGUAGAGCAUGAGAUUCUUAAUCUCAGGGUCAUGCGUUCAAACCCCAAGUUGGGCA